CCCUUAGGUGUUCUGGGCCGCACGCGUGCUACACUGAUGCAUUCAACGAGUCUAAAACCUGGUCUGAUAGGGCUGGGUAAUCUUUUGAAAGUGCAUCGUGAUUGGGAUAGAUGAUUGCAAUUCUUCAUCUUCAACGAGGAAUGCCUAGUAAACGCAAGUCAUCAGCUUGCAUUGAUUACGUCCCUGCCCUUUGUACACACCGCCCGUCGCUCCUACCGAUUGAAUGAUCCGAUGAAUACCAUGGAUUGAGAGUACGAAUAGGUUCGCUUAUUUCUGCUGCUCGAGAAGUGGAGUAAAUCUUAUCAUUUAGAGGAAGGAGAAGUCGUAACA
rnacentral:rRNA from 1 species